AAGGAACAUAUAUUUGAAGUUUGAAGUUGAUACCUUAAGAAAUGACAAAGUUAUAGUGAAAAAUAUUUUACUGCACCAAAACUUUAAUCUGAAAUCUGGACGCCGACGCCGACGCCGAGGCGAGUAGGACAGCUCUCCAUAUACUUCGUAUAGUCGAGCUAAAAAUGGGAACUGGUUGAUGGAUAUGGAUGAAACUUUGCAUCAGUGUUGUGUUUAUGAAUAGAAGUCAGGAUAAUAAAGGAUAACUGACAGACUGUGCAGUUACCAAAGCCUGGGUUUGAGUACAGGACCUUACCUUAUCCUGGUAAAGAUCUAUGGAAGGACUCCUUCAGCUCAGUUUGGCAGCAGCUUUGUCAGGACACAUUGAGAAG